AAUUUUGAGCAGGACAUCUGAUGAGACUUUUGAUGCCACAGAUGAUUCAAUUUAUAAAGUCGAAAAGACUGGUGCUUCCAUUAGUACUGCAUGCAGUGUGUCUUUACCGCAUCACUAUUGUUCAAGACUCCCACAUGAUGAAUACUUUAAUCCUGCCCCAGAGUUCAUGAUUUGGAUGGUGUCACUUGUCAUGUGGUUCUCCCUUCCAAUGCCCCAUUCAUUGUGUUGAGGGGCCAUCAUGUGCUUCAAAAGAGGAUGCAAAAAGAGCCGCUUCUCUUCUAGCAUGCAAGAAGCUGUAUGAGUUAGGUUCCCUGAUGGACCAUCUUUUGCCAACGCAAAAGGAGGAGAUUGAAAUAUUUUGAGAAAAUCCACAUGAUAAGCUUGUGAAUUCUAGGGGUACAGGUUUUUUUUAUGUCCAUUAAGCUCUUUAUCUUGUUACUUUA